GGCUACCAUGCAGGUCGAGGGGCAGCAUUUUAGUUUGCUUGCAAACUAAAGAUGGCGACCGGCGCACGGGCUGAGCUAACACGCUAUCCAACCUGCCGAUAACUCGGGGAUAGCCUUUCGAAAGAAAGAUUAAUAUCCGAUAGUAUAUUAAAACCGCAUGGUUUUACUAUUAAAGAAUUUCGGUUAUCGAUGGGGAUGCGUUCCAUUAGUUUGUUGGCGGGGUAACGGCCCACCAAGACUACGAUGGAUAGGGGUUCUGAGAGGAAGGUCCCCCACAUUGGAACUGAGACACGGUCCAAACUCAUACGGGAGGCAGCAGUGAGGAAUAUUGGUCAAUGGACGAGAGUCUGAACCAGCCAAGUAGCGUGAAGGAUGACUGCCCUAUGGGUUGUAAACUUCUUUUAUAUGGGAAUAAAGUAUUCCACGUGUGGGAUUUUUGUAUGUACCAUAUGAAUAAGGAUCGGCUAACUCCGUGCCAGCAGCCGCGGUAAUACGGAGGAUCCGAGCGUUAUCCCGGAUUUAUUGGGUUUAAAGGGAGCGUAGGUGGAUUGUUAAGUCAGUUGUGAAAGUUUGCGGCUCAACCGUAAAAUUGCAGUUGAAACUGGCAGUCUUGAGUACAGUAGAGGUGGGCGGAAUUCGUGGUGUAGCGGUGAAAUGCUUAGAUAUCACGAAGAACUCCGAUUGCGAAGGCAGCUCACUAGACUGCAACUGACACUGAUGCUCGAAAGUGUGGGUAUCAAACAGGAUUAGAUACCCUGGUAGUCCACACAGUAAACGAUGAAUACUCGCUGUUUGCGAUAUACAGUAAGCGGCCAAGCGAAAGCAUUAAGUAUUCCACCUGGGGAGUACGCCGGCAACGGUGAAACUCAAAGGAAUUGACGGGGGGCCCGCACAAGCGGAGGAACAUGUGGUUUAAUUCGAUGAUACGCGAGGAACCUUACCCGGGCUUAAAUUGCAUUUGAAUAAUCUGGGAAACAGGUUAGCCCCAANGGCAAAUGUGAAGGUGCUGCAUGGUUGUCGUCACCUCGUGCCGUGAGGUGUCGGCUUAAGUGCCAUAACGAGCGCAACCCUUAUCUUUAGUUACUAACAGGUCAUGCUGAGGACUCUAGAGAGACUGCCGUCGUAAGAUGUGAGGAAGGUGGGGAUGACGUCAAAUCAGCACGGCCCUUACGUCCGGGGCUACACACGUGUUACAAUGGGGGGUACAGAAGGCAGCUACCUGGCGACAGGAUGCUAAUCCCAAAAACCUCUCUCAGUUCGGAUCGAAGUCUGCAACCCGACUUCGUGAAGCUGGAUUCGCUAGUAAUCGCGNAUCAGCCAUGGCGCGGUGAAUACGUUCCCGGGCCUUGUNCNAAAGGGCCCGUCAAGCCAUGAAAGCCGGGGGUACCUGAAGUACGUACCGCAAGAGCUCNAG
rnacentral:rRNA from 1 species